UGCACAACUCAUCCAUCAAACACAGAGGAACGAUCAGGGAGAUUUCUUUCUUUGCACUUGAUGAUGAGAGUAUACCCACAUGUAUUACUCCCAUGGGUGGCAGUAUGAUACCUGAAUCUGGCAGUAUUGCAGCUCAACUCCAUGAGUCCUACAGUCUUAGAAGAAGCAGUCUCUUUGAUUUGGUGAUUGCCGAGUAUAUACCACUGCAAAGUACAAACUCACCAUCAGAAUGCCUAAUUGGGUAAAAAUGAAGAUCAUAAUAAAAUGUCAAAGAGCGCGUCGAGCUGUCAGGCCCCAGCGCCACCAGGGAGAGGCUCUCCUCGCCCACCUGGCCUAGCUCGCCUAGCUGGCCGUUACCCACAAGGCACCUGGACAGAAGAGGGACCCGCAGGCAGUAGGGCCAGAGGGAUAACCCCACCCCGUCUAACCAUGAGUCUGAGUGGAGAGAGGAGAGCAGCAGGGCUUGGCGGAAUGUUCCAGUCAUUUGACGGGGCUCAGUGAGAUGGAAUGGCAGGAGUCUAGCUGGAGGAACAGCAGCAGCUGCGUGAGAGAGAAAAGAGGUCCAGAAGAGGGUGCCACUGAUCAAAAUAACCCUCCACCCACCGGCCCCAGCCCAGCUGCGCCAGCCAGGGGAGUGGGUACCUACCCCAGCCUCAACCAAAGCUCAUAAAGGCCUUCCCUGGAGGUCAAACCCCCUCUCCUCAGUACAGUAGAAGAGUGUUAAUUACGUCCAA
rnacentral:lncRNA from 1 species